AGUGAACGCUGGCGGUAGGCCUAACACAUGCAAGUCGAACGGCAGCACAGUAAGAGCUUGCUCUUACGGGUGGCGAGUGGCGGACGGGUGAGGAAUACAUCGGAAUCUACUCUUUCGUGGGGGAUAACGUAGGGAAACUUACGCUAAUACCGCAUACGCCCUUCGGGGGAAAGCAGGGGAUCGCAAGACCUUGCGCGAUUGAAUGAGCCGAUGUCGGAUUAGCUAGUUGGCGGGGUAACGGCCCACCAAGGCGACGAUCCGUAGCUGGUCUGAGAGGAUGAUCAGCCACACUGGAACUGAGACACGGUCCAGACUCCUACGGGAGGCAGCAGUGGGGAAUAUUGGACAAUGGGCGCAAGCCUGAUCCAGCCAUACCGCGUGGGUGAAGAAGGCCUUCGGGUUGUAAAGCCCUUUUGUUGGGAAAGAAAAGCAUCCGGUUAAUACCCGGGUGUUCUGACGGUACCCAAAGAAUAAGCACCGGCUAACUUCGUGCCAGCCGCCGCCGUAACAC
rnacentral:rRNA from 1 species